rnacentral:misc_RNA from 1 species
CCGCGAGGAGAUCGUCGAGGGGCGAGCGUUACAGCUCGCUGUCUACCGCGGUAUCGCCAGCACCGAGGGCGAGGUAAGCGAUGGCGGCUAUUUCCUGCUCCGCCAGCGGCGCAUUCUCGCUUCUGUCGGCUCGAUCCUGGCCGACGAUGCUUUGGAAGCCAGUAGAACCGAGACCGAAACAUUGCAUCAGCUAAGCUCCGACUGGGCAAUAUGGCGCGAUCUCGCGAUUAAAGGAAUUGUUCUGGCGGCUGGCGUGGAGGGUGUCGCCGAUCGCCGGCCUGUUGAACUCGGGUUCGAGCCCGCUACCGAACCCUGUCGUUUUUGCGACCUGACCAACCUUUGCCGCGUGAA